AACGAACGCUGGCGGCAGGCUUAACACAUGCAAGUCGAGCGCCCCGCAAGGGGAGCGGCAGACGGGUGAGUAACGCGUGGGAAUCUACCCAUCUCUACGGAAUAACGCAUGGAAACGUGUGCUAAUACCGUAUACGUCCUUCGGGCGAAAGAUUUAUCGGAGAUGGAUGAGCCCGCGUUGGAUUAGCUAGUUGGUGGGGUAAAGGCCUACCAAGGCGACGAUCCAUAGCUGGUCUGAGAGGAUGAUCAGCCACACUGGGACUGAGACACGGCCCAGACUCCUACGGGAGGCAGCAGUGGGGAAUAUUGGACAAUGGGCGCAAGCCUGAUCCGGCCAUGCCGCGUGAGUGAUGAAGGCCCUAGGGUUGUAAAGCUCUUUCACCGGUGAAGAUAAUGACGGUAACCGGAGAAGAAGCCCUGGCUAACUUCGUGCCAGCAGCCGCGGUAACAC
rnacentral:rRNA from 1 species